UGAGCUCCAUCAACUAAAGACCCCUGCACAUUUCACAUGCUGGCUCUGCCCUCAACAACUCAAAGCACUAUUUCAAAAUUUCAAUAUCUUAAAUACUUUUUUGACACACUUUUCUAAUUAUCAAGAACACAAGAAUAAUUUUCACUUCACCAGAUGCUCAGGGAAGAAGUUAAUGACCCUGGAAACUGAAGGAAGAAGAUGCAUCUAGCUGACUUCCCCAGGUGAGGGAGUACAGCACAGAAAGCUUAUAAAUUACCAUUGCUGACAAAACAACCAACUGUCCUGGCUGUAUCUAGAAAAGUUGUUUUCUAGCACAUGAAAAUGUUUGCUCUUUCUCCUGUUCAACACUCUCCAGAAGGACUACCUGCCUCUUUGUCUUCAAGAGAUGAGGGAUUGCUCUCAUGCCUCUCAAGUCCUACUGAGCAGCAAGAUGACUGUCUUCAACUCCACUAGGACUUGUAAGCCUCGCUCCGCUCCUAGGACUCUCUCCUGCGUCCCUUGGGAAUUCUUUCCUCAGCAGAAGCUCCAGAUUCCCAACCUUCUAGGGGUGAAGGGCUGCACUCUGGUCAACUGAGAAGGCAAGGCCCUGUAUUUCAGUUGUGAUUGUGCAGAUAUAAGUGCAGGGACUGAAGGAGCCAAGGCGUUGUGAAAGCUAACCUUAUGAGCAAAGGAGCCUGUAGCAGUGUGUACCUCUCCUGAUUCACACCAAGAGUUCUCAGCUAAAUAGCAGCCUUUCUGUCAGAGUGAAAAACAAAGCCUUCUCACAGUGCUUGCAUUUGUGAUACAUCUGUUGUAAGUGGCUUUCUUAGCAUCAGAAAGCAUUUUAAUUGUAGUAAACUGAACAAUGCAGAAAUUGUUUGAAGAGGAGAUUAAAUUUAAUGAAAUUCACAAACAACCCCUUUUAGAAAGUAACAACAAUUUUUGAACAUUAAAGAGGAGCUCAUUAUAUCAAGACAGCUCCACUGUGAAAAGCGGUCUGACUUCAAUCACCACAUAUCCACAUGUUAAUGAACUUCUGUGUAAAAGCCAACACCGAGAGAGAAGUAAUAGGAACACUAUCUCCAUGAGUGUUUGCGAGAGGAAAAAUCUCCUUUAAUCAAUAAAACACCUUCUCACGUGCACCUCAAUACUGACUGGGACUCUUUCAAAGGACACAGAAGGAAGCUGCUGCUAGAAAGUUCCUUUAAGACAUUACACAGCUUGCACUUUCUUCAGGGUUCACAUGCUGCCAGCAACCCAGCUCCGAAGACUUUCAAGUUCCAACAGACACAGCCUAGUACAGUCUUCAUCACCAUAAUUUCAGUGCUGCCCCUGAUCAAACAGACAAAUCUGAAACUGAAGACUAAGAGGCAACCAGUGACCUUUGAUUAGGGCCAUGAGCCUCCAUUGUAAUAUAAUGCCUCAUUCAUUGCUCUCUGGGACCAACAAGGAAGUAUGUUACUGACUGAAAGGAUGUCACUAGCAGGCUUAUUCCUCACAAUGAUUUCCAUCAUUAACUGUUAAAUUUUUCAUUUGCAGCAAGUGGCACCAGGUGUUUAAAAAACAAAAAUCAAAAAACCAAAGACAUAGAAAAUCAGUUUCCUACCUUGCAAAUGAAUGAAUCAUUUUACCCCAGCUCUCAUUUACCUGUUACUGACUUUCAGGCCUUAUUAACUGCAUUGUGCUAAUCUUUCAAAACUGUAAUUUGAACAAUAUUGGUUUGUUGCUACUACUUAGAAUCUAAGGCAAUUAACACAAACAUAAGAAGACACCAGCAGGUGGGGAAAGGUAGACCAGUCAAGAGAACUCACAACACUGCUGUGACUUCCCUGAGAUUUCUUUCAGCUGCAUCUUUCCCCUUGAACUGAAGAUGCAAACAGCCAAAGAACACCAAUAGACACAAGCAAAACACAUCCCAAGUACAACCUAGGAAACCAAUAGACACAGACAAACAUGUCCCAAGAGCAGUCUGUUCUCUUUGGCCUAAUGACCAGGAAAUUGAAAGAAUUAGGCAAGGCGACCCAUUCUACAAUAACCACUCUGACUUCAAGUAGACACUGGAGAUGAAAAGGUCUUGUAGUGCCCUCUUAAGUGAUUCAAACAAAAGCCACAUGGAAACUAGAGUCCCACUUUCUCAUGGCUGUAAAUGAGGUUCUGAACAUCACUCUCUCAUCUCAGAAUUGUCAGAAAAGACCAGGGAGAGGCCUUUCCCCUGCCAGUCAGCAACUGCUUCUCUGGUUGUGCUGUCCAAGGUCACGGUAUCCUCUCAUUCUCACUAAAGUGAUAUCAGAGUGUACCCACAGGAGAGUCCAAAAGCACUGCCCAUUGGCAAAAGGUCAUUUCCACUUGAAUGACAGUGAGGAUCAUUCUGAGAGUCGGAACUUUUCACACAGCAAUAACAAGAAUCUUGUCACUAGAUGGGCACCUGAACUGCUAAAUUCACCUGGCAGUAAAAGAGCAGCAUCCUACCCUGCUACAAAGGGAUUUGACUAAAGCAGAAGGUUUUGUCAUAAGACAGUACCAAGAUGUCCAGGUUUAAAUCAAAAUGCAUUGUCAAAGAACUGGAAAGUUCACAAAUUAAAUGAACAAGUCAAUCAAUAGAUAACAACACCUAACUAUUAGAAUUGUCUGGCAAACAUGUUAAGCAGCCAUGAUUUAAGAAAGUAUUUAAAUGUCCUGCAAAGGAGGCAGUUGUGGGCCAACAUGGAAUGACAGGAUCCUGUAUAAUACCCUUUUCCACAAGGACUGGCAGCAGUGAAGGAACAUUUAGUUUAACUGGCAACCCCAGAAGACCCACAGACCAAGGCCCCACUGGUGAAAGCAUGCCACGUUGGCUUUACCCUGCAUCAGGUCCAUAGUGAGGUGCCCACAAUGAGAAAACACACCCGGAUGAAUACUCACAGGGACUUCAGUCUAGAAGGACUCAGGGUGAACAGCAUGGCAUCUCUGUGAACCCAUUGCAACAGCCCCUCAAGGCCAAUGCAUGGCCAUGAGGAAGGACUCUUCCAAGUACACAUUCUUUCCCUGGAAACCCUUCAUCACCAAGAAGUGAGACAGAUCUGCUAAGAAUUCAAAUUGACAACCCAGGUAACAUCUCAUAAGUUUAUAGAAAGAGAAAGCCAGAAUCAUCAUGACCAAGAGAAGAGUUUUAUGUUUUUGCCAGUCUCCACAGGGUCUAUGGUAAGGUCUCAGGAUCCUAGUAAACAGGACCAAGGAAGCUGUAGAGCAAAAUAUUAAUAGAAAAAGUAAUGUUUUGCUUGAGCACUGUGAUAAAUUUUCAGUAAGGCAGAAAAAAACUGAAAACUUUUAGAACUGGAAAAUAAAAAUAAAAUAUUCAAAAGAGAGGAUUGGUCAGGAUGAAAAGGACAGAAUGACCACUGGCUCUGAUAGAAAACAGUAGGAUGCAUCCAAUCUAAGCAACAGAGACAAGCUAAGCUUCAAAAAAGAUGAACCAAGGCUCAGAAACCUUUGGGAAAUGCCAUGUCAGUUACAGGGAAACAAAGUUCACACAACAGCAGACUUCUCAUCAGAAACCCUAAGAGUCAGAAGGGAGUGGCCUGAUAUUUGUUAAGUGCUAAAAGACAGACAAAGCCCUACACAGUGAACCAUACUUCAGGAAUGUGGGUGAAAUCUAAACAUUUCUCAGAAGAAAACAUGAAGAGAGUUUAUCCAAAGUAAAAUCACACACAAAGAAUGUAGAAGGAAGUUCUUCAAGCAGAAAGGCCACAAAACACUGGAAGGUUAGGAAGAAGAGGCCACAACAGGUAGCUUAGUGGUAACGUGUUUAACUAGCCUGCAUGAGGCCUUGAUUUCAGUUCUGGGAGGAAGCAAGAGAGGAAAACAUGAAUAAAUCAACCAAUUUUCCUUCUCCUCUUGAGUCUACUAGAUUAUAUAAAGCACACUACCCAAACUUGGACCAAACAAUUCUAAUGUAAAUGAGAUAAUCAACAGGGGAAUUAGCACAUCCCACGACUGAGAGGCAGGCACACAGCAGAGCUGGGGGCAUCGGCCUUUAAUCAUUCUAACGACAUUAGAGGAUGAUAUACAAGAAACCAUUCUCUAUACCAAGCUUACAGAAAUGCAGUCCCUAUUUCUUCUAUGAGUUGAAUCUCUCACAUUUAAGUCCAUACAAAAGGGAAAGAUUUAAUUGAUCAGAAUGAAAUAAGGAUCAUCAAUUUUGAAUGGAAGAUGACAGAUGAAAUGACUUUUCAUAAUCGCUUCCAGAUUUUAAGAUUGGAGUUUCAUCAAAAUUUAGAGGUCAUGAAUCCAGACACUACAUUCACUCACUUGGGACUCUC
rnacentral:lncRNA from 1 species